UGGUUCUGGCAUCGAUGAAGAACGCAGCGAAAUGCGAUAAGUAAUGUGAAUUGCAGAAUUCAGUGAAUCAUCGAAUCUUUGAACGCACAUUGCGCCCUCUGGUAUUCCGGAGGGCAUGCCUGUUCGAGCGUCAUUACAACCCUCAAGCUCUGCUUGGUAUUGGGCGUCGCCGGUCCCGGCGCGCCUUAAAAUCAGUGGCGGCGCCACCUGGCUUCAAGCGUAGUAGCACAAUCUCGCUUCUGGAGUCCCGGUGCGUGCUUGCCAGCAACCCCCAACUCACCAAAGGUUGACCUCGGAUCAGGUAGGGAUACCCGCUGA
rnacentral:misc_RNA from 1 species